UUUGGUGUAGCUCAGUGGUGGAGUGCAUGUACUGUAUGUAUGAAGUCCUGGGUUCAAUCCCCAGCUUCUUCC